AACGUACGCUGGCGGUGUGCUUAACACAUGCAAGUCGAACGAGAACGUUUCCUUCGGGGAGCUAGUAAAGUGGCGCAAGGGUGAGUAACACGUGAAUAAUCUGCCCUCGAGAUUGGGAGUAACUUGGCGAAAGCUAAGCUAAUACCGGAUAAGACCACGUUUCAUAAGAAAUGCGGAAAAAGGAGUCUCAACCUUCACUCGAGGAUGAGUUCGCGGACCAUUAGCUUGUUGGUGAGAUAAAAGCUCACCAAGGCUACGAUGGAUAGCCGGCCUGAGAGGUGAUCGGCCACACUGGAACUGAGACACGGUCCAGACUCCUACGGGAGGCAGCGAGGUGGGGAAUAUUGCGCAAUGGGCGAAAGCCUGACGCAGCAACACCGUGUGAGCGAUG
rnacentral:rRNA from 1 species